rfam:Morus notabilis contig9921, whole genome shotgun sequence.
UUUCCCUAUGAUGCUUAAUUUGAUAAGAAACCAUGCUAAUGCUGAUCAAUAAGUGAUUGAUCUUGCUAUUCUUUUCCUGAGGGAUUU